AACCCAAAUUAACAGAUUUCGGCGUAAAGAGUGUUUAAGCUAAAAAUACAAAUAAAGUUAAAAAUUAACUAAACUGUAAUACGUAUUAGUUAAUAUUAAAAUAAAUGAUUUAAAUGAUUUUAAGAAGGCUGAUACACGACAACUAAGACACAAACUGGGAUUAGAUACCCCACUAUGCUUAGUCAUAAACUAAAAUAACUUAAUAAUAAAGUUAUUCGCCAGAGAACUACUAGCAACCGCUUAAAACUCAAAGGACUUGGCGGUGCCCUAAACCCACCUAGAGGAGCCUGUUCUAUAACCGAUAUACCCCGAUAAACCCAACCCUAUCUUGCCAAUA
rnacentral:rRNA from 1 species